rnacentral:rRNA from 1 species
UUCUUUAUGAUUUUAUAUAAGGUAAUUUCUGCCCAAUGAUUAAUAUUUAAAUGGCUGCAGUAUAUUGACUGUACAAAGGUAGCAUAAUAAUUAGUUUUUUAAUUGGAAACUUGAAUGAAAGGAUAAAUGAGAAAUUUUCUUUAUUAAUUUUAAAAUUAAAAUUUAAAUUUUUGGUUAAAAUGCUAAAGUUUGUUUUAGGGACGAUAAGACCCUAUAGAACUUAAAAUUUAAAUUAAUUUUGAUUUUUUAUAGAUUAAAUUUUUAUAUUUAAUUUGAAUUUUUAAUUGGGGUGAUUAGUAAAUUAUAAACUUUAUUUAUUUUAUUCAUUAAUUUAUGUGUUAUUGAUCCUUUAAUAAGAUUAUAAGAUAAGUUACCUUAGGGAUAACAGCGUAAUUUCAAUAGGAAGUUCAUAUUUAAAUUGAAGUUUGCGACCUCGAUGUUGAAUUAAGAUUAAUUUUUGGUGUAGGUGCUUUAAUUAUAAGUCUGUUCGACUUUUAUUAUCUUACA